CGAAAAAAGGGAAUUCUUUCUCGUCUGACGGUACCAGAUGAAUAAGCACCGGCUAACUCCGUGCCAGCAGCCGCGGUAAUACGGAGGGUGCAAGCGUUAUCCGGAUUCACUGGGUUUAAAGGGUGCGUAGGCGGGUAUGUAAGUCCGUGGUGAAAUCUCCGAGCUUAACUCGGAAACUGCCAUGGGUACUGCGUAUCUUGAAUGUUGUGGAGGUGAGCGGAAUAUGUCAUGUAGCGGUGAAAUGCUUAGAUAUGACAUAGAACACCAAUUGCGAAGGCAGCUCACUACACAAAUAUUGACGCUGAGGCACGAAAGCGUGGGGAUCAAACAGGAUUAGAUACCCUGGUAGUCCACGCCCUAAACGAUGA
rnacentral:rRNA from 1 species